AAGAGGCAGGGCCUAGAGGAGCUGCCUACAGGAAACAUCAAGGAGGUCCAAGUUUUCAAACCCAGAGACUGGAAGUUCAGUUUACUCUGUGGCUGGAAAGAAGCCCUACUCUGUCCUAAGAGAAAAAUGAAAAUACUAAUUCCAUCUAUAAAUAGACUAUGAAAACUGGAAGAUCUUCCCUCCAAUGUGUGCCUGUGGGAAAAUGAAAGAUUACUCUUUUGAGAAGCUGACAUUAUAUAUAUCAAAAGAAUAAAUGUCUCAUUAUCAUUUUUA